rnacentral:rRNA from 1 species
UACGUAGGGCGCAAGCGUUAUCCGGAAUUAUUGGGCGUAAAGAGCUCGUAGGCGGUUUGUCGCGUCUGCCGUGAAAGUCCGGGGCUCAACUCCGGAUCUGCGGUGGGUACGGGCAGACUAGAGUGAUGUAGGGGAGGCUGGAAUUCCUGGUGUAGCGGUGAAAUGCGCAGAUAUCAGGAGGAACACCGGUGGCGAAGGCGGGUCUCUGGGCCGUAACUGACGCUGAGGAGCGAAAGCAUGGGGAGCGAACAGG